rnacentral:rRNA from 1 species
GACGAACGCUGGCGGCGUGCUUAACACAUGCAAGUCGAGCGGAGCGGCGAACGGGUGAGUAACGCGUGUGUAACUGCCCCCCUCUCUGGGAUAACAGUUGGAAACGGCUGCGAAUACCGGAUAGUGGGGGAUGACUCGCGUCCUAUCAGCUUGUUGGUGGGGUAGUGGCCUACCAAGGCGACGACGGGUAGCCGGCCUGAGCGGGCGACCGGCCACAUUGGGCGGGGAUACGGCCCAAACUCCUACGGGAGGCAGCAGUGGGGAAUAUUGCACAAUGGGGGAAACCCGGAUGCAGCGACGCCGCGUGGGGGAUGAAGGCUUUCGGGUUGUAAACCUCUUUCGCUAUCGAAAGGGUAGGUGGAGAAGAAGCGCCGGCUAACUACGUGCCAGCAGCCGCGGUAAUAC